rnacentral:rRNA from 1 species
AGCACAGUAAGAGCUUGCUCUUAUGGGUGGCGAGUGGCGGACGGGUGAGGAAUACAUCGGAAUCUACCUUUUCGUGGGGGAUAACGUAGGGAAACUUACGCUAAUACCGCAUACGACCUUCGGGUGAAAGCAGGGGACCUUCGGGCCUUGCGCGGAUAGAUGAGCCGAUGUCGGAUUAGCUAGUUGGCGGGGUAAAGGCCCACCAAGGCGACGAUCCGUAGCUGGUCUGAGAGGAUGAUCAGCCACACUGGAACUGAGACACGGUCCAGACUCCUACGGGAGGCAGCAGUGGGGAAUAUUGGACAAUGGGCGCAAGCCUGAUCCAGCCAUACCGCGUGGGUGAAGAAGGCCUUCGGGUUGUAAAGCCCUUUUGUUGGGAAAGAAAAGCAGUCGAUUAAUACUCGGUUGUUCUGACGGUACCCAAAGAAUAAGCACCGGCUAACUUCGUGCCAGCAGCCGCGGUAAUACGAAGGGUGCAAGCGUUACUCGGAAUUACUGGGCGUAAAGCGUGCGUAGGUGG